rnacentral:rRNA from 1 species
AAGCACGGACCAAGGAGUCCAACAUGUGCGCGAGUCUAAGGGUGAACUAAACCCGGAGGCGAAAUGAAAGUGAGCUCCUUUUUGGGGCAGGCCGAUCCCUAGUGGUGACCUGACUAUUCCUUUGCAUUGGUGAGAGAAUGUCCUAUUGUAUUUGGGAUAGUAUUUGGUUGCUGCAGCCCUCCUCUUUUAGGGGAGGGAAUUGUGGGCGCAGGCCGAGGACUUGCCAUUAUGCGGCGCGGGCAACGGGUUGUCUUUAGGGGCUUCCUUAUCCCGAUGUCCGUUGGCAAGUACCUGAGAGCGCAGCCGUUGGGACCCGAAAGAUGGUGAACUAUGCCUGGCGAGGACGAAGCCAGAGGAAACUCUGGUGGAGGUCCGAAGCAGUUCUGACGUGCAAAUCGAUUGUCAGAGCUGGGUAUAGGGGCGAAAGACUAAUCNAACCAUCUAGUACUGGGNUUCCUUCCAAA